GUUAGGUCUGUCAGUUGUGUCAUUCGAUUAUCGAUAUUAUAUAUCUUACUCGUCGUUAAUAAAAAUUAGACCAAUCAUAAAUUGAAUAUUUUUAGAAUAUUUUUCUAAAACAAUUAAAGCUAAAUAUAUUUCAGGGUUAUCGUCAGAUGGAGUAUCAGUAUCAUCAUCUGCAUUGAUUCCUUUGAACAAGUCAGAAUUAUUUAAUCGUCAAUAGAUCGAAAUUUCGAAGGAAAAGUCACUCUAUUGAUACAACUUCUACAAGUUCUAAUUUUGCUAUUAUUAA